GUCAAAACGUCAAUAAUUCAGUAUAAGCUUCAUGGCGGUCCUGUGUUGCAGUUGACCCAAGGUGACACACCCAUGCUAUUCGUAGGUGAUCAACUUCUACUACAAGCUGAAAUCUAGCAGCUCAGAGAUUGCGUCCUCACUGUGCUACUGAUCCUCGUUCCCGGCAUGAGCUCUGCCACAGCAACAAGCUUCCUGGCAACUGGGGACUCGUAUGCAAGCCUAGCAGGGGAAACAACUACUGUUUCUGUGAUGGGCAAACAGUUUUUACCAGUGUUGUGACAAAAUUUACAACCAUUGCACAUGAAGCCACUAUUGGAGGAAGAAUUCGAAGAAAUAGCGGAUACAUUCUACAAGAAGUGAGUUCCUGAAUUGUUAAGGUUCCAUCAGUGGGAAGCAUACCAGAAUUCUAAGCUGUAAAUGGUCCGACACCAUGUUCUUUAAUUAUGAAAGCUACUUUUCAAUAGUUCUGCAGGCUGUAUGUGAUGGAAUCCAGAAAUUCACUUUCAUUGAUGUUAUAGGGUAUGGGAAACAAAGUGAUGGUUGCACUUCCAUGGCAUAUGUUCUGUAUGAUAAAAUAGUGAAAGAUGCGCUUCACAUUCCUGAGGAUGACUUUCUUCCAGGUAGUGCUCGAAAAACAGCCUUUGUCUUUAUAGGAGAUACAGCGUACCCUCUGCUGAGACACCUGAUGAAAUCUUACGCCAGGAAAAGUCUGUACCACUGGAAAGUUCAGCAAAGCCCUUUUACGAGCAUAACAAAACUGUUGAAUGUGCUUUUGGAAUUGUGGCAUCAAAGUGGCGAAUAUGUAACAAACCCAUUGAAACAAAAACUGAGACAGUGGAACUGAUAGUAACAGUUGUUUCCAUUUUACACAAUGUCAUUAUAGACAAAGAAAAUACACAACAUUACAGAGUAGAGACGUACUUCCCGGAGUUCACACAUCAAGAAGGAACAGCACAACUCCUGCUGAAAUAUGGAAUUUGUUUCAACGUUAUGUUAAUGAAGAAAUAUU